GACGAACGCUGGCGGCGUGCUUAACACAUGCAAGUCGAACGGAAAGGCCCUGCUUUUGUGGGGUGCUCGAGUGGCGAACGGGUGAGUAACACGUGAGUAACCUGCCCUUGACUUUGGGAUAACUUCAGGAAACUGGGGCUAAUACCGGAUAUGAUCUCCUGCUGCAUGGUGGGGGUUGGAAAGUUUCGGCGGUUGGGGAUGGACUCGCGGCUUAUCAGCUUGUUGGUGGGGUAGUGGCUUACCAAGGCUUUGACGGGUAGCCGGCCUGAGAGGGUGACCGGCCACAUUGGGACUGAGAUACGGCCCAGACUCCUACGGGAGGCAGCAGUGGGGAAUAUUGCACAAUGGGCGGAAGCCUGAUGCAGCAACGCCGCGUGCGGGAUGACGGCCUUCGGGUUGUAAACCGCUUUCGACUGUGACGAAGCGUGAGUGACGGUAAUGGGUAAAGAAGCACCGGCUAACUACGUG
rnacentral:rRNA from 1 species